rnacentral:lncRNA from 1 species
UAGAUCCCUCGUCUUACAAUGGUCUGUUGCUGUUGCCUCUUGUGGGACCCUUUGCUGUCUUACUCCAUUCUGGAAUGUUCUGUGAGGCUGCUUCCUUGMGUGACUGAUUGCCCAGAACUUUCAACCUUUGCAUCUGUAGCUUCUCCAAGUUCAGGAUGUAAACAGGAGGGUCUUGAGCCUCUGAGUUACCCAGGAAGGAUUCUGGGCCUAAAUAGGUGGUUAACUUAUCAAUGCAUUAAAAAUUUUGAUUUUGAUUCAUAAUGUCACAAUGUCAUAUUUAUGAAACCAGAAUGUCAUCCAGGAGCCAUCCUGCUUGGAACUAGAACUAGAACCUCAGAACCUGUCUGGGAUGUAAAGUCAAAGCGUAUAAAGACAGAACAGCCUAUCUGCAGCCCAGAGAAGGCUCUUGGAACUCAACAAGAAAAUUAUGACUGUGACCAAGCAGUUGCUGGUGAAUUCAGUGCUCUCCCAAUGAAGAGAGAGGAAGGGUCGGAAGAGAAGCCCAGCCCCCUGCAACGAGGCGGACAAGGGGCAAGGCGACGCAGAUACGAGGAUCUGGUGCCCACUUCCCUUGUGAGUCCGGAGGACCAGCAGAAGGCAAGGACCGUGCAGAGCCAAGUGGAUGAAAUCAUAGUUAUCAGCAGCGAGGACUCGAAAUCCAGUGACGAGGAAGAGCCCCAGGUGUCUCCCGCUCAGCACCAAGGUGCAGGAUUCAGGCYGGUGAGGAGGGUGCGGACCUCUGCCCCGGACUCCAGGAUCUCAGAGCUCCUGCUUGUUGGUGCACAUGGCUCGGAGGGCACUACCAGCCAGGGCCCUGCUAACCCUGGGCGCCCAUUCUUCACCCUUGCCUCGGCUGGCCCUUUGGGAAACGUGGGAAGGCAGGGCGGUACUCCCUGACUGCACGUCUGAAUGUCCGCAUAGAGACAGGAUGUAUGUUUCUGUUUUACACCUUUUUCUUUCUCAUGGUCGUACAUAUGAUAGGAUAACGAAAAUCACAUAAUUUGUCUUUGUCUCCAGUUCUUGAUCCAGAGUGGUAAGACCUCUGGAAUUUCUAGUGAGAAGAGCAUCUUUUAAAAACCAAGCAUAGGAUUACAGGGUUAGAUCUUUCAGCCCCACUUCUCAACCUCUGGAGAGAAGAGAGGAAUGGAAGAUUGAGUGCAUCAACAAUGGCCGAUAAUAAAAUGUCAGGUCUGCACA